rnacentral:rRNA from 1 species
GACGAACGCUGGCGGCGUGCUUAACACAUGCAAGUCGAACGGAAAGGCCCUGCUUUUGUGGGGUGCUCGAGUGGCGAACGGGUGAGUAACACGUGAGUAACCUGCCCUUGACUUUGGGAUAACUUCAGGAAACUGGGGCUAAUACCGGAUAGGAGCUCCUGCUGCAUGGUGGGGGUUGGAAAGUUUCGGCGGUUGGGGAUGGACUCGCGGCUUAUCAGCUUGUUGGUGGGGUAGUGGCUUACCAAGGCUUUGACGGGUAGCCGGCCUGAGAGGGUGACCGGCCACAUUGGGACUGAGAUACGGCCCAGACUCCUACGGGAGGCAGCAGUGGGGAAUAUUGCACAAUGGGCGGAAGCCUGAGGCAGCAACGCCGCGUGCGGGAUGACGGCCUUCGGGUGGUAAACCGCUUUCGCCUGUGACGAAGCGUGAGUGAAGGUAAUGGGGAAAGAAGCACCGGCUAACUACGU